GUCCAAGUGGUGUAACGGCAGCCACGCCGGGUUUAGGACCCGGUGCUCGUAAGGGCGUGAGGGUUCGACUCCCUCCUUGGACACCA
rnacentral:tRNA from 1 species